CAACUUUAUUCAGCGCACAGUCCAGCCAGCCCAGCAAAGCUGCGGAGGGAGGGGGCGGGCAGUGUCACUUCCAUGGAGCAGCAAGACUCAGCAGCAGAGUCUCUCUCUCCAUAUUGCUCAGUCCCCACCAGCGACCGCAUGGAUCUCCAUCCCAGGCCCCUAAAACCAGGAGCAGGCAUGCAGAAUGGGAUCGGAUGGUCACUGGAGGACCGCCAUGUCAAGGAAGAUGGCAGAUGCCAGGUUGUCCACCCCCCCUCCCAGGGCUGCUUCAGAAGGUGAAAAAUGAUUCUUUACACUUCAAUACUACCCUCCGGUACUUGAUCACAGGAGAUUCCAAUGUGGUAUAUGUUCCUCUGGAUAUCCUGUAUACUGAAUCAGUGGGAAAGUCUGCCAUGCUAUUUUGGAAGUCCUGAAAUCAUCCAACAAUACACAACUACUCAAUUUUAUAUUAUAACAAACCUUCAGAUGAUGUUUUUAUCUAUCUGUAUAUGUAUCUAUCCACCAUCUAGUUCGCUAUCAAUGUAACUAUGCACUCAAUGGGUUUAAUUAAUAAACCUAAAUGUAUUAAAAUCUAUGUAGAGGCAUUCUAUAUCAAUAUUUAAUAGGUUUAUAAAACGUUUGAUACUUUACUACUUUUGCUUUUGUAUUGAUAUGGAUAAAUCCAUACGAUAACAUAUUAUAUUUAUAAAAUACAAGUACAAGUAUGGGACAUUAAGGGGGUUAUUUACAAAAUAAAAUUUUA